CGCUGUGAUGAACCCCAGAUAGGGACAGCUUAUGCUUCGGCAUAUGAUGCGAACCCUGGGCGAGAAUUUUAGUAGAUGCUUCGACUUUCUGAGU
rnacentral:snoRNA from 1 species